rnacentral:rRNA from 1 species
AAAACUCUAAGCGGUGGAUCACUCGGCUCAUGGGUCGAUGAAGAACGCAGCAAACUGUGCGUCAUCGUGUGAACUGCAGGACACAUGAACAUCGACAUUUUGAACGCAUAUCGCAGUCCAUGCUGUUAUGUACUUUAAUUAAUUUUAUAGUGCUGCUUGGACUACAUAUGGUUGAGGGUUGUAAGACUAUGCUAAUUAAGUUGCUUAUAAAUUUUUAUAAGCAUAUGGUAUAUUAUUGGAUAAAUAUAAUAAUUUUUAUUCAUAAUAUUAAAAAAUAAAUGAAAAACAUUAUCUCACAUUUGAAUGUGAAAAACGAAGAGAAAUAUUUUCUUUUUCAAUCAAAUAAUACUGAGAAAUGUCUAGCAUAAAAAAUUGAAAUAUUUUUCAUCUAGAAUUGUCUCUUAUUAAUGAUUCGGAAAUAGAAAAAUCUUGGUUAUGUUAUUAUUCUUCGUUGGUUCGUUAAAAAUGGAUAAAUAAAAACUUUGCAUACAAGAAUUAAUAAAAAUGUUAUAACGAAUUUAAUUAAAUGUUUUAUCAUUAUAUAUAAAGAAUUUAUGGCAAGAUAAAGUUAUAUACAACCUCAACUCAUAUGGGACUACCCCCUGAAUUUAAGCAUAUUAAUUAGGGGAGGAAAAGAAACUAACAAGGAUUUUCUUAGUAGCGGCGAGCGAAAAGAAAACAGUUCAGCACUAAGUCACUUUGUCUAUAUGGCAAAUGUGAGAUGCAGUGUAUGGAGCGUCAAUAUUCUAGUAUGAGAAAUUAACGAUUUAAGUCCUUCUUAAAUGAGGCCAUUUACCCAUAGAGGGUGCCAGGCCCGUAUAACGUUAAUGAUUACUAGAUGAUGUUUCCAAAGAGUCGUGUUGCUUGAUAGUGCAGCACUAAGUGGGUGGUAAACUCCAUCUAAAACUAAAUAUAACCAUGAGACCGAUAGUAAACAAGUACCGUGAGGGAAAGUUGAAAAGAACUCUGAAUAGAGAGUUAAACAGUACGUGAAACUGCUUAGAGGUUAAGCCCGAUGAACCUGAAUAUCCGUUAUGGAAAAUUCAUCAUUAAAAUUGUAAUAUUUAAAUAAUAUUAUGAGAAUAGUGUGCAUUUUUUCCAUAUAAGGACAUUGUAAUCUAUUAGCAUAUACCAAAUUUAUCAUAAAAUAUAACUUAUAGUUUAUUCCAAUUAAAUUGCUUGCAUUUUAACACAGAAUAAAUGUUAUUAAUUUGAUAAAGUGCUGAUAGAUUUAUAUGAUUACAGUGCGUUAAUUUUUCGGAAUUAUAUAAUGGCAUAAUUAUCAUUGAUUUUUGUGUUUAUUAUAUGCACUUGUAUGAUUAACAAUGCGAAAGAUUCAGGAUACCUUCGGGACCCGUCUUGAAACACGGACCAAGGAGUCUAACAUAUGUGCAAGUUAUUGGGAUAUAAACCUAAUAGCGUAAUUAACUUGACUAAUAAUGGGAUUAGUUUUUUAGCUAUUUAUAGCUAAUUAACACAAUCCCGGGGCGUUCUAUAUAGUUAUGUAUAAUGUAUAUUUAUAUUAUUUAUGCCUCUAACUGGAACGUACCUUGAGCAUAUAUGCUGUGACCCGAAAGAUGGUGAACUAUACUUGAUCAGGUUGAAGUCAGGGGAAACCCUGAUGGAAGACCGAAACAGUUCUGACGUGCAAAUCGAUUGUCAGAAUUGAGUAUAGGGGCGAAAGACCAAUCGAACCAUCUAGUAGCUGGUUCCUUCCGAAGUUUCCCUCAGGAUAGCUGGUGCAUUUUAAUAUUAUAUAAAAUAAUCUUAUCUGGUAAAGCGAAUGAUUAGAGGCCUUAGGGUCGAAACGAUCUUAACCUAUUCUCAAACUUUAAAUGGGUAAGAACCUUAACUUUCUUGAUAUGAAGUUCAAGGUUAUGAUAUAAUGUGCCCAGUGGGCCACUUUUGGUAAGCAGAACUGGCGCUGUGGGAUGAACCAAACGUAAUGUUACGGUGCCCAAAUUAACAACUCAUGCAGAUACCAUGAAAGGCGUUGGUUGCUUAAAACAGCAGGACGGUGAUCAUGGAAGUCGAAAUCCGCUAAGGAGUGUGUAACAACUCACCUGCCGAAGCAACUAGCCCUUAAAAUGGAUGGCGCUUAAGUUGUAUACCUAUACAUUACCGCUAAAGUAGAUGAUUUAUAUUACUUGUGAUAUAAAUUUUGAAACUUUAGUGAGUAGGAAGGUACAAUGGUAUGCGUAGAAGUGUUUGGCGUAAGCCUGCAUGGAGCUGCCAUUGGUACAGAUCUUGGUGGUAGUAGCAAAUAAUCGAAUGAGACCUUGGAGGACUGAAGUGGAGAAGGGUUUCGUGUGAACAGUGGUUGAUCACGAGUUAGUCGGUCCUAAGUUCAAGGCGAAAGCCGAAAAUUUUCAAGUAAAACAAAAAUGCCUAACUAUAUAAACAAAGCGAAUUAUAAUACACUUGAAUAAUUUUGAACGAAAGGGAAUACGGUUCCAAUUCCGUAACCUGUUGAGUAUCCGUUUGUUAUUAAAUAUGGGCCUCGUGCUCAUCCUGGCAACAGGAACGACCAUAAAGAAGCCGUCGAGAGAUAUCGGAAGAGUUUUCUUUUCUGUUUUAUAGCCGUACUACCAUGGAAGUCUUUCGCAGAGAGAUAUGGUAGAUGGGCUAGAAGAGCAUGACAUAUACUGUUGUGUCGAUAUUUUCUCCUCGGACCUUGAAAAUUUAUGGUGGGGACACGCAAACUUCUCAACAGGCCGUACCAAUAUCCGCAGCUGGUCUCCAAGGUGAAGAGUCUCUAGUCGAUAGAAUAAUGUAGGUAAGGGAAGUCGG